GUACAUGCCUAUAACAUAACGUUAAUGCACUGGAUCCCAUUAGAACUUCGCAGUUAAGCACGCUUGGGCUAGAAUAGUACUGGGAUGGGUGACCUCCUGGGAAGUCCUAGUGUUUUAUAUG
rfam:Picea glauca, whole genome shotgun sequence.